rnacentral:rRNA from 1 species
UACGUAGGGUGCGAGCGUUGUCCGGAAUUAUUGGGCGUAAAGAGCUCGUAGGCGGUUUGUUGCGUCGGCCGUGAAAACCUGCAGCUUAACUGUGGGCCUGCGGCCGAUACGGGCAGACUUGAGUUCGGUAGGGGAGACUGGAAUUCCUGGUGUAGCGGUGAAAUGCGCAGAUAUCAGGAGGAACACCGGUGGCGAAGGCGGGUCUCUGGGCCGAUACUGACGCUGAGACCCGAAAGCGUGGGGAGCGAACAGG